rnacentral:lncRNA from 1 species
AACUUUGAAUCACUAAUUCUUAGAUGGGUGAGCUUUCCACAUUCAUCAACCAUGUAAAGUUCUUCCAAACAAUAACAAUGAUGAAGAUCCAAUUUCUCGAGAUUCGGAGUCAUCCCAAGGUUAAGGGUCCUCAACUUUGAAUGACUAAUUUUCAAAUAUGCGAGCUUUCCACAUUCAUCAGCCGUGUGAAGUUCUUCCAAACAAUAACAAUUAUCAAGAUCCAAAUUCUCAAGAUUUGGAGUCAACCCAAGGUUAAGGGUCCUCAACUUUGAAUGACUAAUUUUCAAAUAUGCGAGCUUUCCACAUUCAUCAGCCGUGUGAAGUUCUUCCAAACAAUAACAAUUAUCAAGAUCCAAAUUCUCAAGAUUUGGAGUCAACCCAAGGUUAAGGGUCCUCAACUUUGAAUCACUAAUUCUUAGAUAGGCAAGCUUUUCACAUUCAUUGGGCAUGUGAAGUUCUUCCAAAUAGUAAAAACUAUCAAGAUCCAAAUUCUUGAGAUUCGG